AAUAAUGAAAUUUCACUAGGAGCCUGGA
rnacentral:piRNA from 1 species